GGGGGGUGGAUGGGGCAGGUGUGUGUGUGUGUUCCAGGUAUGGCUGUGGGUGUCUGUUGAGAUGAAGGAAACUGAAGCAGCUGCUAUAUGAGUGUGUGUCUGCCAGGAAGAAAGGAGAGGUGGACCCGUCCCGCUACCCAUCUCAGAUACUGUGCAGAGCAGAUCCAGUUCACUGAGGAGGCGGAGCUAAUUACUCAGCUACAGCACUACACCUCCGUAGACACCAGCUCUGAGGAGAUGGGAAACACAGCUCCCCAAGCGAAAGAGGCUUGCUAAGAGGCUGAAGCAAUAACGGUGAGUCUAAUCUAAUGGCCGGCCCCUAAUGAAUAGCUACAUAAACCAGCUUCUGUGGGGACCGGCUGGGGAGGAGAAGCUCUCCGACUGGGGCAGAGGCCACGGUGAUGUGGGGACCGGCUAGCGAGGAGAAGCUCUCCGACUGAGGGAGAGGCCACGGUGAUGUGGGGACCGGCUGGGGAGGAGAAGCUCUCCGACUGAGGGAGAGGCCACGGUGAUGUGGGGACCGGCUGGGGAGGAGAAGCUCUCCGACUGAGGGAGAGGCCACGGUGAUGUGGGGACCGGCUGGGGAGGAGAAGCUCUCCGACUGAGGGAGAGGCCACGGUGAUGUGGGGACCGGCUGGGGUGGAGAAGCACUCCGACUGAGGGAGAGGCCACGGUGAUGUGGGGACCGGCUGGGGAGGAGAAGCUCUCCGACUGAGGGAGAGGCCACGGUGAUGUGGGGACCGGCUGGGGAGGAGAAGCACUCCGACUGAGGGAGAGGCCACAGUGAUGUGGGGACCGGCUGGGGAGGAGAAGCACUCCGACUGAGGGAGAGGCCACAGUGAUGUGGGGACCGGCUGGGGCGGAGAAGCACUCCGACUGAGGGAGAGGCCACAGUGAUGUGGGGACCGGCUGGGGAGGAGAAGCUCUCCGUCUGAGGGAGAGGCCACGGUGAUGUGGGGACCGGCUGGGGAGGAGAAGCUCUCCGACUGAGGGAGAGGCCACGGUGAUGUGGGGACCGGCUGGGGAGGAGAAGCUCUCCGACUGAGGGAGAGGCCACGGUGAUGUGGGGACCGGCUGGGGAGGAGAAGCACUCCGACUGAGGGAGAGGCCACGGUGAUGUGGGGACCGGCUGGGGCGGAGAAGCACUCCGACUGAGGGAGAGGCCACGGUGAUGUGGGGACCGGCUGGGGAGGAGAAGCUCUCCGUCUGAGGGAGAGGCCACAGUGAUGUGGGGACCGGCUGGGGAGGAGAAGCUCUCCGUCUGAGGGAGAGGCCACGGUGAUGUGGGGAUGUAGGGUCUGUGCUGGUAGUAUGGUCUGUGUUGGUAGUAUGGUCUGUGUUGGUAGUAUGGUCUGUGUUGGUAGUAUGGUCUGUGUUGGUAGUAUGGUCUGUGUUGGUAGUAUGGUCUGUGUUGGUAGUAUGGUCUGUGUUGGUAGUAUGGUCUGUGUUGGUAGUAUGGUCUGUGUUGGUAGUGGUCUGUGUUGGUAGUAUGGUCUGUGUUGGUAGUAUGGUCUGUGUUGGUAGUAUGGUCUGUGUUGGUAGUAUGGUCUGUGUUGGUAGUAUGGUCUGUGUUGGUAGUAUGGUCUGUGUUGGUAGUAUGGUCUGUGUUGGUAGUAUGGUCUGUGUUGGUAGUAUGGUCUGUGUUGGUAGUAUGGUCUGUGUUGGUAGUAUGGUCUGUGUUGGUAGUAUGGUCUGUGUUGGUAGUAUGGUCUGUGUUGGUAGUAUGGUCUGUGUUGGUAGUAUGGUCUGUGUUGGUAGUAUGGUCUGUGUUGGUAGUAUGGUCUGUGUUGGUAGUAUGGUCUGUGUUGGUAGUAUGGUCUGUGUUGGUAGUAUGGUCUGUGUUGGUAGUAUGGUCUGUGUUGGUAG